rnacentral:rRNA from 1 species
GACGAACGCUGGCGGCGUGCUUAACACAUGCAAGUCGAACGGAAAGGCCCUGCUUUUGUGGGGUGCUCGAGUGGCGAACGGGUGAGUAACACGUGAGUAACCUGCCCUUGACUUUGGGAUAACUUCAGGAAACUGGGGCUAAUACCGGAUAGGAGCUCCUGCUGCAUGGUGGGGGUUGGAAAGUUUCGGCGGUUGGGGAUGGACUCGCGGCUUAUCAGCUUGUUGGUGGGGUAGUGGCUUACCAAGGCUUUGACGGGUAGCCGGCCUGAGAGGGUGACCGGCAACAUUGGGCCUGGGAUCCGGCCCAGACUCCUACGGGGGGAAGAGGGGGGGAAUAUUGAACAAUGGGCGGAAGCCUGCUGCAGCAACGCCGCGUGCGGGAUGACGGCCUUCGGGUGGUAAACCGCUUUCGCCUGUGACGAAGCGUGAGUGACGGUAAUGGGUAAAGAAGCACCGGCUAACUACGU